rnacentral:rRNA from 1 species
UACGAAGGGGGCUGGCGUUGCUCGGAAUUACUGGGCGUAAAGCGCACGUAGGCGGAUUGUUAAGUCAGGGGUGAAAUCCUGGAGCUCAACUCCAGAACUGCCUUUGAUACUGGCGAUCUCGAGUCCGGGAGAGGUGAGUGGAACUGCGAGUGUAGAGGUGAAAUUCGUAGAUAUUCGCAAGAACACCAGUGGCGAAGGCGGCUCACUGGCCCGGUACUGACGCUGAGGUGCGAAAGCGUGGGGAGCAAACAGG